rnacentral:rRNA from 1 species
GACGAACGCUGGCGGCGUGCUUAACACAUGCAAGUCGAACGGAAAGGCCCUGCUUUUGUGGGGUGCUCGAGUGGCGAACGGGUGAGUAACACGUGAGUAACCUGCCCUUGACUUUGGGAUAACUUCAGGAAACUGGGGCUAAUACCGGAUAGGAGCUCCUGCUGCAUGGUGGGGGUUGGAAAGUUUCGGCGGUUGGGGAUGGACUCGCGGCUUAUCAGCUUGUUGGUGGGGUAGUGGCUUACCAAGGCUUUGACGGGUAGCCGGCCUGCGAGGGUGACCGGCCACAUUGGGACUGAGGUACGGCCCAGACUCCUACGGGAGGCAGCAGUGGGGAAUAUUGCACAAUGGGCGGAAGCCUGGUGCAGCAACGCCGCGUGCGGGAUGACGGCCUUCGGGUUGUAAACCGCUUUCGCCUGUGACGAAGCGUGAGUGACGGUAAUGGGUAAAGAAGCACCGGCUAACUACGUG